rnacentral:rRNA from 1 species
GACGAACGCUGGCGGCGUGCUUAACACAUGCAAGUCGAACGGAAAGGCCCUGCUUUUGUGGGGUGCUCGAGUGGCGAACGGGUGAGUAACACGUGCGUAACCUGCCCUUGCCUUUGGGAUAACUUCAGGAAACUGGGGCUAAUACCGGAUCGGAGCUCCUGCUGCAUGGUGGGGGUUGGAAAGUUUCGGCGGUUGGGGAUUGACUCGCGGCUUAUCAGCUUGUUGGUGGGGUAGUGGCUUACCAAGGCUUUGACGGGUAGCCGGCCUGAGAGGGUGACCGGCCACAUGGGGACUGAGAUACGGCCGAGACUCCUACGGGAGGCAGCAGUGGGGAAUAUUGCAUAAUGGGCGGAAGCCGGAUGCAGCAACGCCGUGUGCGGGAUGACGGCCUUCGGGUUGUAAACCGCUUACGACGGUGACGAAGCGCGAGUGACGGUAAUGGGUAAAUAAGCACCGGCUAACUACGUG